rnacentral:piRNA from 1 species
UNGCCAGAUGCUGCACCAAGAGAUGUUGU